CCUUCGGAGGCUUCCUUCCCUUUUCCGGUGGUGUCCCGGGAAGGUCAUGCUGCGCCAUUUUGUCUCUAAAUGCGCAUGCCCAGCCUCACUUGCCCAAUACCUGCGAUUUUGUUGGAAGCCCUUUUUAUCUCUUUGGGAAGUUGCUUCUUCCUGGUGCCUGCAUUAGUGUGACGGCUGUGGAUCAUCAGGAGAUUGUCUCUCCCUCGCUACGGCUGCUCUUUGUCAUUUUUAGAGGGGCAGUGUGGUAACUGUGAACCAACAUGACUGUGGUUGCCUGACAUUCCUGGCAGCUGAAUAAAAAGUAUUACAUCGAGUUCAUGUUCAGAGCUGGUUAAGGCACCAUCUCCAUGAGGUUUCCGUGCACCGUGCAGUCCAGAGGCUGUGGUCAUGGUGCUCCAGUUUCAGAUGAAGAACCGAACUGGAGAGAGGCCCCAGAGCCGCCCUGGAGUAUGAGGUGGAAAACACCAAGAGGCCUGCUUUUCCAGACCGUCUUUGAAGAGCUUUAUCUUCAGGGCUUGAGAAAUCUGCAGUUUCUGCUAAAAAGGCUUGGAAUCCUCCCUCUUAAAAGCAAACUGUGAGAAACCCAAGUCUCGUGAGGAUAACUGAGGCACUGAGCUCCCAGCCAGCAUCCAGCUUCCUGUACGUGAGUGAGCCAUCUUGAAUGUUUCAGCCUGCUCAGUCCCUAGGAUUGCAGCCUAGUGCAGUGGAGCCAACUCUCAGAAAAUAAAGGUAAAACCUUAUUGUUUUAAGCCGCUAAG
rnacentral:lncRNA from 13 species